rnacentral:rRNA from 1 species
GGAGUUAGCCGGUGCUUCUUCUGUGAGUGAUGUCCUUCCUGCCGGUUAUUGACCCGCAGGCCUUCUUCCUCACUGAAAGUGCUUUACAACCCGAAGGCCUUCUUCACACACGCGGCAUGGCUGGAUCAGGGUUGCCCCCAUUGUCCAAUAUUCCCCACUGCUGCCUCCCGUAGGAGUCUGGGCCGUGUCUCAGUCCCAGUGUGGCUGAUCAUCCUCUCAGACCAGCUACGGAUCGUCGCCUUGGUGAGCCGUUACCUCACCAACCAGCUAAUCCGACAUAGGCUCAUCCGAUAGCGCGAGGCCCGAAGGUCCCCCGCUUUCCCCCGUAGGGCGUAUGCGGUAUUAGCCUGGGUUUCCCCAGGUUAUCCCCCACUACCGGGCAGAUUCCUAUGCAUUACUCACCCGUCCGCCGCUCGCCACCAGGGAGCAAGCUCCCCGUGCUGCCGCUCGACUUGCAUGUGUUAGGCCUGCCGCCAGCAUUCAAUCUGAGCCAUAAUCAAACUCUGA